rnacentral:rRNA from 1 species
AAUAGAUACCCAGGUAGUCCACGCCGUAAACGUUGGGCACUAGGUGUGGGGGGCAUUCCACGUCCUCCGCGCCGCAGCUAACGCAUUAAGUGCCCCGCCUGGGGAGUACGGCCGCAAGGCUAAAACUCAAAGGAAUUGACGGGGGCCCGCACAAGCGGCGGAGCAUGCGGAUUAAUUCGAUGCAACGCGAAGAACCUUACCAAGGCUUGACAUGGGCCGGAUCGGGCUGGAGACAGUCCUUCCCUUCGGGGCCGGUUCACAGGUGGUGCAUGGUUGUCGUCAGCUCGUGUCGUGAGAUGUUGGGUUAAGUCCCGCAACGAGCGCAACCCUCGUUCCAUGUUGCCAGCACUUCGGGUGGGGACUCAUGGGAGACUGCCGGGGUCAACUCGGAGGAAGGUGGGGACGACGUCAAAUCAUCAUGCCCCUUAUGCCUUGGGCUUCACGCAUGCUACAAUGGCCGGUACAAAGGGUUGCGAUGCUGUGAGGCUGAGCCAAUCCCAGAAAGCCGGUCUCAGUUCGGAUUGGGGUCUGCAACUCCG